rnacentral:rRNA from 1 species
UUAACCGCCAGGGUAUUACGAGCCCAAGCUUAAAACCCAAAGGACUUGACGGUGCCCCACCCACCUAGAGGAGCCUGUUCUAUAAUCGAUUCUCCCCGAUAUACCUCACCACUUCUAGCCUAUCAGCCUGUAUACCUCCGUCGUAAGCUUACCAUAUGAACGUUAUACUAGUGAGCCAAAAGAUCAACCAUCAAUACGUCAGGUCAAGGUGCAGCUUACGAAGCGGGAAGCAAUGGGCUACAGUUUCUAACUUAGAAUAAACGAAAGACUACAUGAAAUAUAGUCAUGAAGGCGGAUUUAGUAGUAAAAAGAAAAUAGAGAGUUCUUUUUAAUUAGGCGCUGGGACGCGUACACACCGCCCGUCACCCUCUUCAAAUGCAAUUAUUAUGUUUAUAACACCAAACUGCCCCACAGAAGAGAUAAGUCGUAGC